AAAUAGGAAGCUAAAAGCAUUUAAUUUCGACUUAAAAUUUGGGUAUUAAAAAUUUCCCCCUAUUUA
rnacentral:tRNA from 1 species